ensembl:lncRNA LINC01918 long intergenic non-protein coding RNA 1918
GGCGGCGCCGCGGCCGCGCAGCCUUUGUCUCGGGCCGCCGGGCGCGCGGGGCCCAGCGCAGGCAGGCCACGCGGGGACGGAGGAGGCAGAGAGGACGGGCUGUGAUGGAGAAACGGGAGAGGAGCCGGCCAGGCGCCACCGUCACCACCAUCACCAACCACCACCACCAUCACCAUCACUGACUGUCGCCCAUCCCAGCUCCCCUGCCUCACCUCCCAUCUCAUAUCCCUGUGCAGUGCCAACUUUAUCAGAUCAUCUCUUUUUCACUGGGUACUACUUUGGAAAAGCGACAGAGUGCGCCAAGUCAGGAAUAAGUACAUCCGCUGUGGGACAUUUAUCUUCCCCUUUCUAUUUAGCUACCUCAAUUUUCUCAUCAGGAAAGGGGGCACAAUGGCAUUUCAUUCCUCUAAAUCACACUGAGAUGGCUGGGUUGCUUCCAGUUUUUCCAGUCCUGGCACUGGACGGUUAUACAUGCUUGGUGAUGAUGAUGAUAAAGUAAUGUCUUCAUUAAAUUGGACAGUUGGGAGUUUUCAGACUUACUCUUCUUUGACUUCUGAGUGUCAGUAUACCAGUAGCAAAUAGAAACAUAAGGAAAGUGAAACUUUGGCUAACAUAAUACCAAGAAUAGAUGCAAAACAGGCACUUUUGUAGGGACAUCACCCAAGAGACCUGCAGGCAAUGGUAUUCAUCUGCAGUGUAGAAAGCACCCCAUCAGUGCCAAGUGGCUGUGGGAGCUCCUCAAUCUGGAUGCACAGUUUCCCGUGGGGUUUUCACCCUACCUAAAGAAUGCUUUAAUU